ensembl:lncRNA
CACUUAUCCAAGGAAGCCGCUGCUGAGACUGCUGCAGGCCUCUGCUCUCACUCUCCAUGCAUAAACUCAGCCAUAGGAAAACCAGCUCCGGAGUAACAAGUGAAAACAUUCAGGGCAAUGAAAAAUCCCUUCUGCUCUGUUAUUUCCUCAUCACAGCCACUUAUCUGUGUACAAGCUCAAAACAUUUUUAAAAAGCAGCAACACCGUUGCACUCAGUGUUUACGUGGAGGAACAAAAUCAUCACUACCGCCCUUCCCUAAGGACAGCACAGCGCCUCAGAAUUCACCUGGAAAGACAGCCUAACAAAUCACGAAACACCUUCCUCAUUGCAGGUGGGCUACAAUCCACAGGUUGAGAACAACCACUCUUCAGCUCCUGAGCCAGGCAGAGGCCUCUCUUGCUGGCAGUUGAGAGGAGUCCAUUCCAGGCUUUUGCCCAAGGCCAUUGGAUGAAUCAUUGGUGAAGACAAAGUGCCUAGCCUUCGAGGUGUGGCUGCUCUAGAUGACAGACCAUCUAUCAGUUUUCUCCUUGAUUCAUUCAUUUUCAAGGGCCAAAACCAUGACAACAUCCAUGGUUCUCAUUGGCAAGACUCAUUAAUGACAGCAAGCACCCUACAAGGCCUUCCAUGCAAAAGGUGAGAGAUAUCAGUUCCUGUAAAAGGGCAACACACUGCACAAAGCCCAGCCAUGCACAGAGCCAAUGUGUGCUGUGAGGUCAGAGGCCAGUAAGGUGUGCAUUCCAUAAUGAAUGUCUGAACUUGCCAGAUCUUGGGGAAGUUGGACUUCUCCCAAGAAGAGUCUUGCCCUGACUCUUGAUAACUGUCAGCACAUCUCAGAAAGGCAGGAACUCUUGAGAUAGAAGUGCCAAGCAGCCGGGAACCAUUAAGGCUAAAAUUCAAGUUGCUGAAGGAAACCGGAGCCUGGGUUCUUCUUUCUUCUCCAAGCUGAGCCCUGAGAAUUCAGGGAAAGAAUGCCAUUAAUGUGAAUGCACUCCAGGCCUAGAUAGCAACAUUUCACCAAGGCAGUGAAUUGCAGCACACGGUUUCUCAUUGACAUUUUGGACUGCAUUGUUCUUUCUUAUGAUGACCUUUCCUGAACACUGUAAGGUGCUGACCAAUGCCUCUGGCCUCUACUGUCUAAGUACCAGCAGCAUCUCCUGCUGGUGACUAUGACAACACUGUCUCAACAUUGCCAAAUGUGUCCCAGCAGACAAAUUCAUCCUCACUGGAGAACCAGUACUACAGUGGCUAAAAGUGUGUGUUCUGGAAUCACACCGUCGGUCUAUCAAGGGACCUUACAAGAUAUAUUAAUUAUUGUGAUCCUCCAUACCCUCAAUGGAGCUAAAUAUGCUAAAAACAGGUUAGAGGAACGAAUGAGACAGGCUUCAUAGAACCCAUGACACAUAUCACACCUGCUUGUCAGAAAAGGAAACUGAGGCCCAGGGAUAUAAGAGGAAUCCUGCAGCAGUGAGCAGCCAUGCUGGGGUUUUACCAUUGCAUGGCAUAGUCCCUAAAAUGUCCCAGAACCACUGUAUCUAGCCCCAUCCUGGACACUGUAGCUAAAGGAGCAAAAAGAGAAAAAUCUCUGUACCACAUCUCCAGAUUUAGCAAAGUAAACAGCCCAGCAGGUUAGUAACGUCUGCUGCCUGCUAUGCUGGUAAGAAAUGCAAUGGUUCUCAGAGAUCAGCACUUGACCCAGCCCAGUUUGUAUAGUCAGAGCACUCAAACAGUGUCCCCAAAGAUGCCAACCCUCUUCCAACCUCAUCAUGCUGCUUAAUUCAUCAAGCAAGCAGUAGGCAGUUUUAGAGGCUACAGUGAUGUCCCCAAUCCUGACCUAGCAGGUCUGGAUUGAAAAUAGGAUUUUCUAUAGACUGAAAAAGAGAAGUUGAUGAGCUUCUCACACAGCCUGGAUCAAAUAUCUUCACUCAGACCCAUAUGACGGGCCAGUAUAAAACAUGCCGGCAAUCACGUUAUCCACGGCAGUGUGGUUAGAGGUUAGCACACCCAGGUCUCCAGUGUGGUGCUCCUUGCUCAAUGUCAGAGACAAUUAAAACUUACUCAGCAUGAAUAAGCAAUAUGGGUGAGUAAGUAAAAAAAAAAACCCAAGUGCCACAAACAGCUCGUCCUUUUCCUUGCCGGUUGCCUAAGAAGGGACAAUGAUCCUCGGGACAGACAAAAGGGUUUCUUUCUCAAGUGGAGUGAACUAGUUUAACUUCCCUGAAUUUCACACAGGGAGUGAGCUCACUGCUGAAAGCUCACGUUCAUAUUCCCUCUGGUUGUAUUAAGUCACCUGCAUUACGGCUGUGUCACCAGGAGCCUUCAGGAACCUCAGUAACUUGGGCCUGUUUCGAGUGAUAGGACCUGACCCCAGCUAAGACAGUGGGAAGGACCAAUCCCCAUAGUGAUCCUGUAAGGACAACUUCAAGGGAUGUUUUUAUUCAUCUCUGGUAGAGAAGAUCCCAGUGUUGCUCAGAGGAUAAGAAUUCAACCCGGGAGGAUAAGAAUUCCCUGGGAAGAUCUAGAAAUAAAUACCCUUUACUCCACCCCAGAAUAGCAUCCAUCUUUGAACAUGGGAACCUAUGUUAUAACAAGUUCAGUUGAGUCUAAGACUCAACUUUAGAAAAGCACCACCCAAGAUGGACUUCUCUUUAACUGUCUAUUCCAUCAACUCACUCAACAAAUACUUGUCGAAGGUCUACUCCUUAAUAGCUUUGCCACCAGAUGACAAGUAUAUAGGACUGAAUUAAAGGGACAACUGUUUUUGUCCUUGCAGGCUUUACAUUCUCCUCCAUACAGCCAUGGGGUCUGGUGAGCACUUUUGAGCAUUAACUCAUGAAGGAGUUUAAAACAUAUCCUUAUUCCUGGCAGGUAGAUAAGUACCGAAUCCCACAACCCUGCACAGCAUUUAGUAAGCCUUGGGAUUACUCUGGGUGACAAAAUGACAGAAACGGAAGUGAGAAUUGAGUGACGUCACCCUACAUUUUUACAGUCCCCUGGACCACCCCAGCACUCUUUGCCCAGAAUCCUGAACACCUUGAGACCAGGUCUCAUGCUUCCUGGCUUCCUGAGGCUCAGCCUGGCACCUGGACCUCACUCCGUAUUUGCUGAAUGAGUGCACAAAGGGUUAAACCCCCAUUAGCCUGGUAGCUUACCCAGUGCUCUCAGAGACCUUAGAAUGCCUGAGACAACCUGGCCUGAAAAGGGGGGCCCCUGUCUGUUCACAGCCCAUUUCAGCAGAACAUCUAUAAGCAGAAGCUAGGUAUCUUCCCAGUUCCCCUCAAAGAAGUUGUCUUUUUCCAGAAGUCCCGCCCUAUGCAAUGGAGGAGGGCAGGAGAAACUGCAAUGGAAGGACAACAGAUGGAGCUUUUAUCUAGGGCUUGGGCACUGGGGAAGUGUUAGCCCCUGCCCAGGAACAUUACCUAGGUGAUAUUAGCAAUUAGCAGCCCAGAGUUUUCUCAACUGGAAAUCCCAGGACAGCCUGAAAAGGGCAGGUUUGGCCUGGUUUGGACACUUGCUGGACUUAAGCCAGACUAUGUGCUUACUUGGGAAGGAAAAGCCUAAAGCAUGAAAAAGUAUUCUGCAUGCUGAAAUCAUGUUACCCAAGAGCAAAGUAGAAAUGAGGAUUUCAGGUCAUAUUUCAGCUCUCAAGGAAUAAAAUCCCCUCUGAGUCUGUCUAUACUGUCUGUACUUAGCUUGGUGACUUGCGUUUAAAAACAUAGUUUAUAGAAGAGGGAGUUUGGGGAUACAAUGAGAGCAAAGAUACUUGGGGCCUACAGGAGGGCCCUAAAGAAAAGGAGGAGGAAGGAUUAAAAGGAGAACAGGAAGAGAGAGGAGAGAGGGGGAGGAAGAGUGGGAGAAGCAAGAACAAUGGGGAAAGAGGGGGAGAAAUAGAGGAGCUGGAGCAGGAGGAGAAUCAAGAGGAAAGAAGAGGAAGAGGGGAGGAGGAAGAAGAGGAGGAAGAUCUGGAAGGGUUUCAAAGCUGGGACACCAGUGAGCAUCUCUUGAUGAACAAACUUUACAGCUCAUGCACCAGAAGAAUACACCGGAAGUAAAUGACAACUGAUACCCCAGAAGCCAGAAGCUGAUGUCAGUUUAACUGGCAGCUUGCCUAUGACAGUACACGAGCAAGGCUGACUCUUGCCCCUGGUUUUCAAAAACCUCUUAGACAAAGCACAUGUAAAUAAUUUAGGGGCUCACAGCCUGUGCAUGAAGGGAGGGGGAACAGGGGAGGAAGAGCAUCCCAGCUCAGCCACCUGCCUGUUGCUACCCAGUGUAGAAACCACACAGCAGAAGCAGCUCUGAGGGAGGCCAUGAAACUACCUAAAGGCUCAAGCUUCUCCUCCCAAGGUGACUUGGGGCUCUGGACAUGGGUCUAGACUUGUAAGAAUGCAGGGGACCUUCCAGAAAUUCAUUAGGUAUUCAAAGCAAGAGGACGUACCAGGAAGUAAAACCAGCAAGG